AAUGAACGUUGGAACUAUACUUAACACAUGCAAGUUGAACGAAAUUAUUUAAAAAUAUAAAAAUAUAUUUUAAUGUAAUUUAGUGGCGACCGGGUGAGUAAUAUAUUUGAAAGAUACCUUAAAGAUCGGGAUAUAGUUCGCGAAAGUGAAAAAGAUACCGAAUAACCAAAGAUUAAUUACUUUAAAGAUUCGCAAAUAUAAAUUAAGUAGUUGGUAGGAUAAAAGCCUAUCCAAGCUUAUAAUUUUUAGUUGAUAUUGGAGUAUGAUCAACCACAUCGGAACUGAAACAAGGUUCAAGCUUCCACGGAGGGCAGCAGUGAGGAAUAUUGGGCAAUGAGCGAAAGCUUGACCCAGUGAUAGUUUAUGAGUGAGAAAUGGACAGCAAUAUCGCUGUAAGGCUCUUUUAACAAAGACGAUAAUGACUGUAUUUGUAAGAAUAAGCACUGGCUAAUUCUGUG
rnacentral:rRNA from 1 species